AGUGAACGCUGGCGGUAGGCCUAACACAUGCAAGUCGAACGGCAGCACAGUAAGAGCUUGCUCUUACGGGUGGCGAGUGGCGGACGGGUGAGGAAUACAUCGGAAUCUACUUUUUCGUGGGGGAUAACGUAGGGAAACUUACGCUAAUACCGCAUACGACCUACGGGUGAAAGCAGGGGAUCUUCGGACCUUGCGCGAUUGAAUGAGCCGAUGUCGGAUUAGCUAGUUGGCGGGGUAAAGGCCCACCAAGGCGACGAUCCGUAGCUGGGCUGAGAGGAUGAUCAGCCACACUGGAACUGAGACACGGUCCAGCCUCCUACGGGAGGCAGCAGUGGGGAAUAUUGGACAAUGGGCGCAAGCCUGAUCCAGCCAUACCGCGUGGGCGAAGAAGGCCUUCGGGUUGUAAAGCCCUUUUGUUGGGAAAGAAAAGCAGCAGGUUAAUACCCCGCUGUUCUGACGGUACCCAAAGAAUAAGCACCGGCUAACUUCGUG
rnacentral:rRNA from 1 species